UUCCAUACUAGUUAAAAGAACUUCCUUAGUCUGGGGCUACCCAAGGACAAAGGUAGGGUAAUCAAGAUUGAGUUUGAUCACUUGAUAUUAAAUUCAAAAAAGAAGGAAGGAAUACCCAGGUCACACCCUGUGUUCUGCUAGAUAUAACUAGAAAAUAGGCAUGAAGAUAUAAGGGCUGGAAGGAGAGGAAAGAACUACUAGAACUCGACAACAGGAUCUACAGUCAGUUGAGAUGAAGUUCAAAGAGGCAUGCAACCUACUCCCAGUGACUAUGUGGUUUCCAAUGGACUUUCAUGGCAUGAGAAAGCAACUUCAAACACUGCAACUUUUGCUGACAGGACAUUUCUUGGGCCAGCACUGUUGAAUUGUAAG